UUUUUACAUUUUUUCAGAUAAAAUGGAUAAACUGAAGAAAGCUUUGACGGGACGGGAUGAAGCAGAGGAUGAGGAGAAGGGAUUCGUAGCACAGGCUAUAGACGUGUCCACAUUAUCUUGGAGUACAAGAGUUAAAGGAUUCUGCAUUUGUUUUCUUAUAGGCAUCCUUCUGUCUGUGAUUGGUACUGUAACAUUUGCCUUGGGAGGAAGUAUUAAGAUAUUCGGAGUUCUUUAUUCUUUUGGAAAUAUAACAUCUAUAGCAAGUACAUUGUUCUUGAUGGGACCCGUAGCGCAGAUUCAGAAGAUGUUCGCGAAGACUCGUGUGAUCGCUACGGUUGUGAUGAUUCUAUCCCUGGUCUUGACUCUAUGCUCUGUAUUUUGGUGGGAUAAGAAGAUACUGGCGCUCUUCUUUGUUGUUCUACAGUAUUUGGCGAUGACGUGGUAUUCUAUCUCCUAUAUUCCAUACGCUAGAGAUGCAAUCCUCAAGUGCUUCAACUCAGUUAUAUCUUAGAGAUAUAUCUUGGAAUUUUAGAGAUAUCUGCGACCUUUGGAGAUAUAUCUAGGCACUUCAGAGAUUUAUCUCAUACAGGGGGGAAUCAUACAACCUUAGAAUAAGAAGACGACAUUUAAUCAGUCUGAUGUCAGUAGCUUGAAAACCACCUUAAGUGAAAUGGGUCUGUGUACACUGCACAAACCACAGCUGUUCACUGGACUAUUCAAAUUAUAACUAGAGUCCAACUAAUUCCACAGUUUUCUAGAUAUUUUAUCCAGGAGAUAUAUCUGGAAACCCGCUAAGUAAGGAGAUGAAAUCUAAAAAUUCAUGUCUUAGUGAUUUAUAUAGUGGACUUUGAUCUGAUCUUAGUGAUUUAUCUGUAAUCAAUCAUAUCUUUCUAAUACAUAAGUAAACCCUUAGAAAUUCAAAUUGUUCACAGUUAGACCCAGAAAACUGUGUGUACAAAUAUGAGGGGUGUCGUUAAUUAUUGUUAGUAACCUUUUUCCUUUUUUAAAAUGUUUAUUGUCAUAUCAUCCAAAACUAAGAAAAUAACAUUAAAAUACAUUUAUUUAUAUAUAAAUAUUAGAAUGUAAUAUUUUUCCUUUAUACUUAGAAAUGAAUGUGUACGCUGUUCACUGUACAAUAUAUACAUUGAUAAACCGAAGCUUUUCCAAAAAGUGCCUGCAACAAUUUAUACUAUUUAUUCAAUGUAUUUUUCACAUUUUUUUGUAUUAAAAUUCAUAUAAAAUCAAAGCUUUUUAAAGGAGUGCCUGCAACAAUUUAUAAAAUUUUUACUUUCUUUAUUAUUUCACAAUUUUAUAAUUGAUUUUGUAUUCCCCUGAUAAGGCUGCAACCAAUGUAUAUCUAGUUAUAUCAAUGACUAUCAAUCAAAGCUGAAUAUAGGGUACAUCGAAUUUUCAGAACGCGUUUCUAAAGGAUUUAAAAAACUUUUCAAAAAUAAUUUCCCAUUUAAAAAAAAACUUAAAUAAUUUAACAAGAAUUUGUUUUUAUAAAAAUUUUUUAUUUUUUUUAUUUUUUAAACAAUUAUGUCCUGGGUUGCAAUUAAACGUAAAAUCUUGUAAUAAAUCAUAACAUCAGUUCAUGCAAAUGUAUUUUCAUAUUGUGUUCAAUGGAAUAACAAAAAAGUUUCAAAAUAAGUUAUUUAUAACUUUACACAAUCAUUCCAACUACGAAAUAUACAUAAAGGGACUUAA
rnacentral:misc_RNA from 1 species